rnacentral:rRNA from 1 species
AUUGAACGCUGGCGGCAUGCUUUACACAUGCAAGUCGAGCGGUAACAGGCCGCAAGGUGCUGACGAGUGGCGAACGGGUGAGUAAUGCAUCGGAACGUGCCCAGCCGUGGGGGAUAACUACUCGAAAGAGUAGCUAAUACCGCAUACGAUCUAUGGAUGAAAGCGGGGGACCGUAAGGCCUCGCGCGAUUGGAGCGGCCGAUGUCAGAUUAGGUAGUUGGUGGGGUAAAGGCUCACCAAGCCAACGAUCUGUAACUGGUCUGAGAGGACGACCAGCCACACUGGGACUGAGACACGGCCCAGACUCCUACGGGAGGCAGCAGUGGGGAAUUUUGGACAAUGGGCGCAAGCCUGAUCCAGCAAUGCCGCGUGCAGGAAGAAGGCCUUCGGGUUGUAAACUGCUUUUGUACGGAACGAAACGGCUCUGGUUAAUACCCGGGGCUAAUGACGGUACCGUAAGAAUAAGCACCGGCUAACUACGUG